UGAGCAAUCUGCCCUUCACAUCGGAAUAACCAUUGGAAACGACGUCUAAUGCCGAAUACGACCUCCUUUCGCAUGAUUGGAGGUGGAAAGCUCCGGCGGAGAAGGAUGAGCUCGCGGCCUAUCAGCUAGUUGGUGUGGGUAAUGGCCCACCAAGGCGACGACGGGUAGCCGGCCUGAGAGGGUGACCCGGCCACACGUGGGACUGAGACACGGCCCAGACUCCGUACGGGAGCAG
rnacentral:rRNA from 1 species